AAAUUGAAGAGUUUGAUCAUGGCUCAGAUUGAACGCUGGCGGCAGGCCUAACACAUGCAAGUCGAACGGUAACAGAAAGCAGCUUGCUGCUUUGCUGACGAGUGGCGGACGGGUGAGUAAUGUCUGGGAAACUGCCUGAUGGAGGGGGAUAACUACUGGAAACGGUAGCUAAUACCGCAUAACGUCGCAAGACCAAAGAGGGGGACCUUCGGGCCUCUUGCCAUCGGA
rnacentral:rRNA from 1 species